CUGGUGAUGACGCCCGAAUAGGUGUCGAAACGUUCACGCUUUUCUUUUUACAACUUGUUGUGCAAGCCAGUGUUUACUUCAUACUAUUAAAGAAAAAUGGAGUUGUUUAAAGUAGGAUCUCGGAGAGCGACAUCCACUGCAACGUUCCACACCUACUUGUAAAUGGAGGACGUCAUCUCGGCUUCUUUGAUUUCCUUCCUUCUGGACCAGUUGAUGAAUUCAUCUGCACCAGUUCACGACAGCGGGAAUGAUCAACAGUCUCAAGAGGACUGUUACCUGACUUGGUACUUACAUCGAUGUUGGACACAUUGCAAGGCAACAUAGCUUCGUCCAACUAUUCUCUCCAGUGAUCAGACACAUAUAGCUGUGAUGGGAGAGCGCAACAGAAAUAAAAUAAGUGCAUCUCCA